GAUGAACGCUGGCGGCGUGCCUAAUACAUGCAAGUAGAACGCUGAAGGAAGGAGCUUGCUCUUUCCGGAUGAGUUGCGAACGGGUGAGUAACGCGUAGGUAACCUGCCUGGUAGCGGGGGAUAACUAUUGGAAACGAUAGCUAAUACCGCAUAACAGUAGAUGUUGCAUGAUAUCUACUUAAAAGGUGCAAUUGCACCACUACCAGAUGGACCUGCGUUGUAUUAGCUAGUUGGUGAGGUAACGGCUCACCAAGGCGACGAUACAUAGCCGACCUGAGAGGGUGGUCGGCCACACUGGGAAUGGGACACGGCCCAGACUCCUACGGGAGGCAGCAGUAGGGAAUCUUCGGCAAUGGACGGAAGUCUGACCGAGCAACGCCGAGUGAGUGAAGAAGGUUGUCGGAUCGUAAAGCUCUGUUGUAAGAGAAGAACGAGUGUGAGAGUGGAAAGUUCACACUGUGACGGUAUCUUAACAGAAAGGGACGGCUAACUACGUG
rnacentral:rRNA from 1 species